rnacentral:misc_RNA from 1 species
AGCUGCAGAAAGUGCUUUGAAUCUAAAGCUGGGAGACUACAUAAGCUUAAAAAUUUGGAGGAAGAGAACCAUUUUCUGAAAUUGAGCUCUAAUAUGUUGUAGCUUGCACUUGUAAUGUUAAUAUUUGAAAGUUGUUCUUCCUUUGUCUUCAUUAAAAAAAUACCGAUUAUAAUUGUGGAUCCUUCACUGCAAAUCUUUAGCUGUGAUUUUAAAUUAUUUGACGUAUGGUAGUUGUAUUUGAUAUCAUAGUUAUAGACUUAUAAUGCAGAGUAUUAGAACCAAUAUUUUGUUUAGUUGUUCUUGGCCUUUUCUAUUAGAGUGUUUCUCAAGUAUUUUGAACAUUUUGAUUUGAUUACUGUACCCAUGGAUUUCCAGUUGGGGUUCAGCUGAUGCAUUGCCUUCUGAUUAUUUGAAAAUUGAGGAUCUUAUAUUACUAUAUUCAUUACUUUGAACAUGUUGAUGUGAUUUUUGUUUCCUGGGAUUUUCAGUUGUCCUUUAGCUAAUGCUUUACUUUCUAAUUAUGUGAAAUUGAGGAUCCGAUGUUACUCUUAUGUUUUUUUAUUUGAUAUUCUGACUUGCUGUAAUAUUUGGUUAGGAUCUCAGCAACAACGAAAGGUGGCAUAUCGCAAGAGAAUGUUAGGUGUUUUAAAGGAAAUCCAAGGCAUAGGAGUAAAUUAGACAAGUUUAGAAAAAAGGAAAAGCAGGGCAAGUUGUUGCAUCAAAGUACACGGGUCGUGUAAGGAUAAAGCCAAACCCGUGUAACCUUCUAGCAGGAGGAAAAUGAAGGAAGCAUGAAGAACCACAGUACACGGGUCGUGUAAAUGACUCUGUGUACCUUAUCAAGACCUCGUGUAACUUGAGCCGUGUACCUCAACCCGUGUAAACCUCAAGACCCUCGUGUAUCUUAUUGCCUCCCAUAUGAAAGAAGCCAAGUGCAGUCCAGAAACUUACACGCCCCUGGGCUGUGUAGUGCCAGACAGGGCAUGCACUAUGUAACAGUCAGGAUUCCCAUGCAACUCCAACUGCUCUUUUCACGGGCCGAACAGACUUUUAAUGCUCUUGGGACUCUGAAACAUAACUCUAAGGCACUUAAAAUAAAUACCAGAAGACCAAAAGCAGAAAAAGAGAGACGCCUUUAAGAGAAGCCCUUCCAAUUUAGUUUAGAAAACCCUAGUUUUUCCAAGCCAUUUGAAGGAGGACUGCAUCAACAUCAAGGAGGAGAUCUAGCAGCCGAAGUUCCACAAGUCCAAAGCUGCAGAAUCUUUUUCUGGGUUCUUUUGUUAUAAUUCUUCAGAUUGCUUUUAUGUUCUUUUACUUUAGAUACAAUAUGUUUGUUAAACUCACC